rnacentral:rRNA from 1 species
CAGGGAUUGCCUCAGUAACGGCGAGUGAAGCGGCAACAGCUCAAAUUUGAAAUCUGGUUCCUUUCAGGGACCCGAGUUGUAAUUUGUAGAGGAUGUCUUCGGGUCUGGCCCCGGCCUAAGUUCCUUGGAACAGGACGUCACAGAGGGUGAGAAUCCCGUAUGUGGCUGGAGGUCUAUUCCUAUGUGAAGCUCCUUCGACGAGUCGAGUUGUUUGGGAAUGCAGCUCAAAAUGGGUGGUAAGUUUCAUCUAAAGCUAAAUACUGGCGGGAGACCGAUAGCGCACAAGUAGAGUGAUCGAAAGAUGAAAAGCACUUUGGAAAGAGAGUUAAAAAGUACGUGAAAUUGUUGAAAGGGAAGCGCUUGCGACCAGACUUGCCUUCAGUUGAUCAACCGGAAGUAUCUCCGGUGCACUCUGCUGAGGUCAGGCCAGCAUCGGUUUAGGCGGUUGGAGAAAGGCCUUGGGAAUGUGGCUCCUUCCGGGGAGUGUUAUAGCCCAUGGUGCCAUGCGACCAGCCUGGACCGAGGACCGCGCCUUAGUGCUAGGAUGCUGGCGUAAUGGUCGUAAGCGACCCGUCUUGAAACACGGACCAAGGAGUCUAACAUCUAUGCGAGUGUUUGGGUGUAAAACCCACGCGCGUAAUGAAAGUGAACGGAGGUGGGAACCCUUGAGGGUGCACCAUCGACCGAUCCUGAUGUCUUCGGAUGGAUUUGAGUAAGAGCAUAGCUGUUGGGACCCGAAAGAUGGUGAACUAUGCCUGAAUAGGGUGAAGCCAGAGGAAACUCUGGUGGAGGCUCGCAGCGGUUCUGCGUGCAAAUCGAUCGUCAAAUUUGGGUAUAGGGGCGAAAGACUAAUCGAACC